rnacentral:tRNA from 1 species
GGAGGCGUGGCAGAGUGGUUUAAUGCGUUGCUUUCGAAAAGCAAUGUCUCGCAAGGGACCGAGGGUUCGAAUCCUUCCGCCUCCGCCA